rnacentral:lncRNA from 1 species
CUUUGCUCAGGACCUCUGGAUGCCAGGGGUCGUAUCAGGGGCUCUAAGGUAAUUCCACAUGCCCAGCAGAUUCAGCUUAGAGAAACGGUGCUCACAGUGCUGGGGUAGGAGCAGAGAAGGCUAAAUGAAGGACUCCGGAGAGCUGCAGGUGGAUCUGGACCAAAUCCAGAACCCAACGCCUUACUCCCUCCUGGGGAGAGAGCUGGGCAGAGACUUGGGGCGGGCAGUGAGGUGGGGAUAGGUGAGCAGCACUCGUGGUGAGUGGCCCCAGUGUGAUUUAGGAGGGGUGCAGUGUGGGAUCCCAGGGACAUGACCAGUCAGCCCCGCCCUGGCUUUGACAUGGGGGUGCCUGGCAGUGGUGGCUAGAGAAGUCCAGUUUGCCAAGAGAAUGGCACAUAAGGCACUGGGGUGGGCACCUCUGGGGCAUGGACAUAGGGAGACAUAGGGAUGGGGUGGGUCACCUGCGUGGAGGACUGGGCACUGAACAGCACAGGCCCGAGCCCAUCCUUGUCCACGUGAGCUUAUGGCCUGAUGUAGAGACCACCAGGGGCUCCAGGAAAGUUAAGCUGCAUGGAGAGAAACGAUGGGCCAGGGCCGGGCCCAGGGUGGUUUAGGGAAUGGCAGUGUCCUGGGUAGAAUAGGAAGGCCUGAGACUGUGACUGAGCUGACAGUGGGGCAAAGUGAAGGAGCCCAGUAUUGGAAGAUCGGCUCCACAUGUAUCUCUGCGAGGAGACUGCAAGCGAGCUCGUGUGGACCAGGCAGAGGCGAGGGCUGAGUGAGGCCAGCAGUGGCCUGGGCACAGGAAGACGGUGAGUGAGAAGCCACUGGAGCUCCUGUGCAGGAGCGCAACACCUUUACUGCUUCAUUCAGUUUGGCUUCACCUGCUUAAAACUGUAACUCUCUAGAAGGCUGAACAGCAAAAGCCUCCCUCCUGCCCAGCCGCUCAGCAUCCCCAGGCACCAGCACUGCUCCCAGUCUCCAACGUCCUCCAGGGCUCUUCGCUUCUGGGCUAGAAGCAGGGAAACCAGAGUGUGCUGGGGAAGAAGAGGAGGAGGUGGAGGAGGGCUGAUGAUGGGGCCACAUGCUGCUGGGAUGCCAGCUGAGAGCAGCGGAGCACUGCUAAGCUAAGGGGCUGAGUGGGUGCAGAUGGAGCCCUCCGUGGGCUCCUUCAGGUACCAGGAGCCCUGCCUGAGAUUCAGGACACAUCCAAGGGUGACAGCUUGAGGUUGGGUUUUUAUUUUUUUAUUUGUAUAGUACAAUCUCUGUGGUAGCAGAAAUAUAUGCACAAAAAACAAUUCAAAUAAGAGUUCAGAGUAAAAAAAAGUCAGCUAAGACUGUAUCCCGCAGGACAUUUCAUAUAUAUGGAUUUCACAGCUACACUCGAUCCACGCCCCACACCACAUACAGGCUGCUGUCUCCCACAAGAAUGAUGAUGUCAGGGGCAUCAGGAAAGGUAAGGGCCGGGAAACCGGGCCCUUGGAGAACCCUGCCCAGGGGAGGCCCAGCCUACUCACAGGAUCCGACACUCCAGGCAGAGCAGAGGGCAGGAGAGGCCCAAAGAGCUAGGUCAAGCAGCUGGCUCCCCUGGGAGGGGAGCCGGGAGACAGGGAGGUCCUCACACUGCCCCCGUGGCCACGCAUGGCUGUCUGCACACUCCAUCAGGAGGAAGGGCAGGGGAGAAGUCACAUGCAGUACAGUGAAACUCAUCAGUGUCACACACGCCCAGCAGGAGGGGAGAGCUCUGCUCCACACGCUGGCGGCCUUGGCUGCUCCAGAGCAAUCCGCUGCUCCAGCUUCAGCCAUGGGACCAAGAGGGUAAAGGAGCAGCUUCUGGAGGCCCCAGGCAGAGGCCACCUUGCAGCAGUGACUGGCGACUUUGCAGUACAUCUCUGCUCACUUGCUGUCCCUUGGGAGUGAGCACCGUCUAUAACACAUCGCCAUCUACAAAAGCCUGGUCACAGUGUUCACCAGCACAUUCAUGAAAAUUUAAAUCAACAUUAACCAAAGUACCUGCAAGUAACACUGCUUACUCUUGCUGUUUGCCUCAUCUGACUGGAAACCUUAGCCCCCAAAUAUGAAAUGCCUUCUCUAGAUUAAAAGGAUUCAGAGAUGUUGCACUAUUGCACUAU